rnacentral:rRNA from 1 species
UACAGAGGAGCCAAGCGUUGUCCGGAUUGACUGGGCGUAAAGCGCACGCAGGCGGUCUGGCGCGUGGGGUGUGAAAUCUGGCCGCUUAACGGCCAGGCGCCAUCCCAUACGGCCGGACUGGAGCCUUGCAGAGGUCGGUGGAAUUGCCGGUGUAGUGGUGAAAUGCGUAGAGAUCGGCAGGAACACCCAGGGGGAAACCAGCCGACUGGGCAAGUGCUGACGCUGAGGUGCGAAAGCCAGGGGAGCAAACGGG